GGCAAAACUCAAAAACUUAGUCUCAGUUCGGAUUGUAGGCUGAAACUCGCCUACAUGAAGCUGGAGUUGCUAGUAAUCGCGAAUCAGCAUGUCGCGGUGAAUACGUUCCCGGGCCUUGUACACACCGCCCGUCACACCAUGAGAGUUGGCAAUACCCAACGUACGUGAUCUAACCCGCAAGGGAGGAAGCGUCCUAAGGUAGGGUCAGCGAUUGGGGUGAAGUCGUAACAAGGUAAC
rnacentral:rRNA from 1 species